rnacentral:tRNA from 2 species
GCAUCGGUGGUUUAGUGGUAAAAUUAGCCGUUGCCAUCUGUCAUAGAUCAAUUCGGCUAGCCCCGGGUUCGAUUCCCGGCCGAUGCA